GUGGGGAAUAUUGGACAAUGGGCGAAAGCCUGAUCCAGCCAUGCCGCGUGUGUGAAGAAGGUCUUCGGAUUGUAAAGCACUUUAAGUUGGGAGGAAGGGCAGUAAGUUAAUACCUUGCUGUUUUGACGUUACCGACAGAAUAAGCACCGGCUAACUUCGUGCCAGCAGCCGCGGUAAUACGAAGGGUGCAAGCGUUAAUCGGAAUUACUGGGCGUAAAGCGCGCGUAGGUGGUUUUGUAAGUUGGAGGUGAAAUCCCCGGGCUCAACCUGGGAACUGCCUCCAAAACUGCAUGACUAGAGUACGGUAGAGGGUAGUGGAAUUUCCUGUGUAGCGGUGGAAUGCGUAGAUAUAGGAAGGAACACCAGUGGCGAAGGCGACUACCUGGACUGAUACUGACACUGAGGUGCGAAAGCGUGGGGAGCAAACAGGAUUAGAAACCCGAGUAGUCC
rnacentral:rRNA from 1 species